AAAAAAUCAAGCUAGUUUAGUAAGGGAUUUACCCCUCAGUUUACCCAGCAAGCAACAGGGCAUUCCUCCAGCUUAAUCUAUAAUCUAUUCAUGUCAGGCCAGCUCACCUGUCUGACUCGGGCUCCUUGUCAAAUAUGAGUGACAGUUUCUCUGAAAGUGCUUCCUGCUCUCAGAUCCCUGGCUCAGCUACUGGAAGAGACUCGGAGUUCUAAGAUGUACUCCAAGCCCCGCUGGCUUGUUUGGCACAUGCCAUGAGAAAGCAUGACGCCAGAAUGGAGAGGAUUGAGCCUAGCCUGAACUCACAUGGCCUGUGGAAGAGUAGAGAGUUAGAGGGGUUUCCCAGGCCAAUGUUCAGGGCGAGGUGUCCUCUGAGUCUGCAGCGGAUCAGCCAUGAUGGUGAGGCAUCUUACCCUCUUCUCCACGGACCCUCACCCAAACAAAUGAUAAUGAGAAAAGCCUGCUCUUGGACCACACCUCGAGUAGGUGUCUCUCAAAGACAGCAAGCACUCGCAGAAGUAGCAACUAGCACCACUGCCAGAGCGGAUGAAUGUGGCCUGCUAUUCACCUAAGCAGGUGCCCGUUUCUCAUCAGAGUGAGCCCGAGUUCCCUGCACAUGCGCCCCUCAACACAUAAGGUGGCCUACACAUUGUGUGAGGAUGGUAUCUCUCAUCGCCAAAUCACAGCCCAGGGCAGCUUAGCUGCCACCAACGACUGUGGGACCAGGAAGCGCUGGCCCAGCUCAAGGCUGCGACCACACAGCUUCACCAAGACCUGAUCUGUGAAGCUCCUCUCUCCCCACCAGGGUUUCUUCUUCAGAGGCAUGUGAGCCUGCAGGAGGGAAGUACAGCUGGGGCUCAUUAAUGGUAACCCCAGGUCCACUUGGAAGCACACAAGACUUCCUCUUUUGCCAUUGGCUGAGCCAACAGGGCCAUCUGGAGCACAGGGUCUGGCGUCAACACUUUAUGGAAAGUUUGCCUAAACCCUCAGAAUAAAUGUUUUGCUCUCAAUAAGCAACUCAAACUUUCUCACCCCGUGCAUCUCAGCGUGGUUUCUAGGAGUGCGCUGUUUGGACUAUGCUGCCCUUACAACGAGCUGUUGGUAAGAAGUAACUAAGGACCAAUGGGUCCUUAGCUUUCCCAAGAUUAGAAGAAAAAAAAAAAGAUGAAAGGACGUUGACUAAAAGAUGCAAUCACAAUUCACGAAUAUUCGGGUCUCAUUACCACUUAGAGAUCAGAAAAGUGAAUUUCAGGGUCAUCCCUGGUAUCCAAUGGGGAUAGGGGUCGGGGUUCCAGGACCUGCAGCUGUUGCUGGCUUUGGAUAAGGGAUGGACCCUUCCACUCUAUCAUUUAAGCGCUGACUGUAUUCAAAGCAUCAAUCCACAUAUUAAAGCAUUGUAUUCCCACAACCGAAUGAACAUUUUACACUUUACAGAUAAAGAAACUGAGACAACAAGAACUCACAAACUACACCGAAGUAGUAGUGACGGGAGGGGUAGGGAUUUGAAUCCAGAGAAUUCGUCUCCACCCUUCACGCUCUUGAGCAACAUCCUGAGCUCCCGCCCUGUCCAGCUUUCCGAGACUAGCUGGACUUAGAAUAUGGAAACCAGAGCUGGUGCCGACAACCUGGGAUAAAUGGCAGGAAGCUCACAAACCAAAGGAAGCAGAAUUCUACUCCCAGCCUCUUGGAGCGUGAAGCACCGGGCAGAACUCCGCGCUGCUUUCCUUACAACACAGACAGCAGGUCCUGGGCGCUUACCAGACAUGCGCAUUCUAGGCUUCGCACCAGACUCGUAGCUGAGGAUGAGUUCCCAGGGAUCCGAACUCAAGGGGAGCUAAUGGCUUCAUGGCUCCAGCACUGUCCCUUUGUGAUGAACCUGCUCAAGAACAUCUUUCGGGCCCUGGGAAUUGACCAGUCUGUCCCACCUCUGUGCAAAGGGAAAACAGAUACUCAAAAACCUACAUGGCCCCUAAUUCCUACCUACCCUACCUUAGCCCAAGUCCUCUUGUGUCCAUCCUGGCCCUCCAAAGCACUAUCUAGUGGUUUUUAUGAGUUAACACACCAUCUCUUCAGAAAACACCCAGGCACCGGUUACUCAGAGAUGCAGUAGAAGGGUCCUCAGUGCCAAAAGGACCACUUAGCCCUUCCUCGCGGCUGAUCGCACCAUCUUCACACGUAACAUAAUCUACACUCCAAGUGUACUUCGCCACAAAACUCAUUCAAGCCACCAGCAGGUAUGGAUUCAACCUCUUGACGUCACCAAGUUCUUUUUUAUUAAUUCUGCUUCUGCCAUACUUCCUAGCCUCAGCCAACAACCAAGGGUGGCAAGCUCCCACCUGCCAGGCAUAAACCUUCGUGGAAAGUAACUUUUCCUCUACCAUCCUGUUGUUGGAUGUUUGAUUCUGAGAGCUGCAAGGUUGACGGCAGGAAGAAGGGAGUAUGAUAACCUGAGACCCUGAAACUGUUUUAGGCUGACUGGGGCAUGUGGGGCUUGGAUUCCCCAGGAACUUAAGCCUUAGAUUUCUGAGACUCUAAUGAGCUCUCAAGAGAUACCUGUGCUGCUGGUCUGAGGACCAUCCUUUGGAAGUUAGUGUAAGAAUUCGGAUGUAGAGGAUCGCCUGGACUUGACAUCGGAAUUUUCCAGUUCGGUCAGAUAAAAAUACUCUGCCUUACCAGAGCAACUAAAGGGGGCAGAAGCCUCGGUUCCCAUCCGUGGAACUGAUAUGUGUCUUUUCAUUCUCAUUCCCUGACUUGAUUCCCGGUUCUUAACCUUUAUACAGUUCCCGCAGCAUCCUUGACAGAGCCACACGUCCAGUAAGUAAUCAGUUCUUUUAAACAGACUGACACAGCAGAACUAAGUCCUACAGCAAAGAAAUCUAGACUCCGGAGCACAGUGAAGCCCAGAAGCUGAAACCACCAGAAAUCCCUGCAGAGGGGACCUGAGCAAAUGAACACACCUCACCUCCCCGACUCUAUCUUCUAAGCAGCAUUUAUUCAAUGGCUAGCAAAUCAAGGAGAAAAUAAACACUAUCAGUCAGACCACCAGUUAUCAGCUCUUCCCUUGCCUGGCUAAUCCAGGCUAAUCGAUUGUUUUGGUUUGGUUGUUGGGGAUAGAGGGAGCAGAAGCAUUGAGAUUUUAAAUAUACAGUGUCUGCUGCCAUCUUGUGGCAACUCGGGGCCAAUGCACUUUGUAAAAAAGAAUGCAUCCCCGCAGUAAUAGAUUCCUAGAUAGCC
rnacentral:lncRNA from 1 species